GGGUUGUGAGGUUAAGCGACUAAGCGUACACGGUGGAUGCCCUGGCAGUCAGAGGCGAUGAAGGACGUGCUAAUCUGCGAUAAGCGUCGGUAAGGUGAUAUGAACCGUUAUAACCGGCGAUUUCCGAAUGGGGAAACCCAGUGUGUUUCGACACACUAUCAUUAACUGAAUCCAUAGGUUAAUGAGGCGAACCGGGGGAACUGAAACAUCUAAGUACCCCGAGGAAAAGAAAUCAACCGAGAUUCCCCCAGUAGCGGCGAGCGAACGGGGAGCAGCCCAGAGCCUGAAUCAGUGUGUGUGUUAGUGGAAGCGUCUGGAAAGGCGCGCGAUACAGGGUGACAGCCCCGUACACAAAAAUGCACAUGCUGUGAGCUCGAUGAGUAGGGCGGGACACGUGGUAUCCUGUCUGAAUAUGGGGGGACCAUCCUCCAAGGCUAAAUACUCCUGACUGACCGAUAGUGAACCAGUACCGUGAGGGAAAGGCGAAAAGAACCCCGGCGAGGGGAGUGAAAAAGAACCUGAAACCGUGUACGUACAAGCAGUGGGAGCACGCUUAGGCGUGUGACUGCGUACCUUUUGUAUAAUGGGUCAGCGACUUAUAUUCUGUAGCAAGGUUAACCGAAUAGGGGAGCCGAAGGGAAACCGAGUCUUAACUGGGCGUUAAGUUGCAGGGUAUAGACCCGAAACCCGGUGAUCUAGCCAUGGGCAGGUUGAAGGUUGGGUAACACUAACUGGAGGACCGAACCGACUAAUGUUGAAAAAUUAGCGGAUGACUUGUGGCUGGGGGUGAAAGGCCAAUCAAACCGGGAGAUAGCUGGUUCUCCCCGAAAGCUAUUUAGGUAGCGCCUCGUGAAUUCAUCUCCGGGGGUAGAGCACUGUUUCGGCAAGGGGGUCAUCCCGACUUACCAACCCGAUGCAAACUGCGAAUACCGGAGAAUGUUAUCACGGGAGACACACGGCGGGUGCUAACGUCCGUCGUGAAGAGGGAAACAACCCAGACCGCCAGCUAAGGUCCCAAAGUCAUGGUUAAGUGGGAAACGAUGUGGGAAGGCCCAGACAGCCAGGAUGUUGGCUUAGAAGCAGCCAUCAUUUAAAGAAAGCGUAAUAGCUCACUGGUCGAGUCGGCCUGCGCGGAAGAUGUAACGGGGCUAAACCAUGCACCGAAGCUGCGGCAGCGACGCUUAUGCGUUGUUGGGUAGGGGAGCGUUCUGUAAGCCUGUGAAGGUGUACUGUGAGGUAUGCUGGAGGUAUCAGAAGUGCGAAUGCUGACAUAAGUAACGAUAAAGCGGGUGAAAAGCCCGCUCGCCGGAAGACCAAGGGUUCCUGUCCAACGUUAAUCGGGGCAGGGUGAGUCGACCCCUAAGGCGAGGCCGAAAGGCGUAGUCGAUGGGAAACAGGUUAAUAUUCCUGUACUUGGUGUUACUGCGAAGGGGGGACGGAGAAGGCUAUGUUGGCCGGGCGACGGUUGUCCCGGUUUAAGCGUGUAGGCUGGUUUUCCAGGCAAAUCCGGAAAAUCAAGGCUGAGGCGUGAUGACGAGGCACUACGGUGCUGAAGCAACAAAUGCCCUGCUUCCAGGAAAAGCCUCUAAGCAUCAGGUAACAUCAAAUCGUACCCCAAACCGACACAGGUGGUCAGGUAGAGAAUACCAAGGCGCUUGAGAGAACUCGGGUGAAGGAACUAGGCAAAAUGGUGCCGUAACUUCGGGAGAAGGCACGCUGAUAUGUAGGUGAAGUCCCUCGCGGAUGGAGCUGAAAUCAGUCGAAGAUACCAGCUGGCUGCAACUGUUUAUUAAAAACACAGCACUGUGCAAACACGAAAGUGGACGUAUACGGUGUGACGCCUGCCCGGUGCCGGAAGGUUAAUUGAUGGGGUUAGCGGUAACGCGAAGCUCUUGAUCGAAGCCCCGGUAAACGGCGGCCGUAACUAUAACGGUCCUAAGGUAGCGAAAUUCCUUGUCGGGUAAGUUCCGACCUGCACGAAUGGCGUAAUGAUGGCCAGGCUGUCUCCACCCGAGACUCAGUGAAAUUGAACUCGCUGUGAAGAUGCAGUGUACCCGCGGCAAGACGGAAAGACCCCGUGAACCUUUACUAUAGCUUGACACUGAACAUUGAGCCUUGAUGUGUAGGAUAGGUGGGAGGCUUUGAAGUGUGGACGCCAGUCUGCAUGGAGCCGACCUUGAAAUACCACCCUUUAAUGUUUGAUGUUCUAACGUUGACCCGUAAUCCGGGUUGCGGACAGUGUCUGGUGGGUAGUUUGACUGGGGCGGUCUCCUCCUAAAGAGUAACGGAGGAGCACGAAGGUUGGCUAAUCCUGGUCGGACAUCAGGAGGUUAGUGCAAUGGCAUAAGCCAGCUUGACUGCGAGCGUGACGGCGCGAGCAGGUGCGAAAGCAGGUCAUAGUGAUCCGGUGGUUCUGAAUGGAAGGGCCAUCGCUCAACGGAUAAAAGGUACUCCGGGGAUAACAGGCUGAUACCGCCCAAGAGUUCAUAUCGACGGCGGUGUUUGGCACCUCGAUGUCGGCUCAUCACAUCCUGGGGCUGAAGUAGGUCCCAAGGGUAUGGCUGUUCGCCAUUUAAAGUGGUACGCGAGCUGGGUUUAGAACGUCGUGAGACAGUUCGGUCCCUAUCUGCCGUGGGCGCUGGAGAACUGAGGGGGGCUGCUCCUAGUACGAGAGGACCGGAGUGGACGCAUCACUGGUGUUCGGGUUGUCAUGCCAAUGGCACUGCCCGGUAGCUAAAUGCGGAAGAGAUAAGUGCUGAAAGCAUCUAAGCACGAAACUUGCCCCGAGAUGAGUUCUCCCUGACUCCUUGAGAGUCCUGAAGGAACGUUGAAGACGACGACGUUGAUAGGCCGGGUGUGUAAGCGCAGCGAUGCGUUGAGCUAACCGGUACUAAUGAACCGUGAGGCUUAACCUUACAACGCCGAAG
rnacentral:rRNA from 1 species